rnacentral:lncRNA from 1 species
GGCGCCUUUCCGCAUUUGGUGUAGUCCCGCAUGCUGCCAUUUGAUGUCGCGGGAGAACGCGCCUACAGGGAUAGGGCGGGGCAAGGAGGCGAGGAAGGAAAAAAAGCGACAAGUGAAGACUGACAUCCAUUAAGGUCAAUGGUAGCUCAAUCUUCGGUUCUCUGACUCCCAAGCUUCCCAUUCUCUUAGGAGGCUGCAUUUGUGGCGCUAAAAAAAGGGAUGGGCGUGGGAGAUUCCAGGACAUGUGCUCGCUGAAGAUACAACUGUUAGUCCAAGAUAUGCUUCCUUAUGAACUGACGGUGACUCCCAAAUUCAUAUGUUGAAGACCCAACUCCCAACGGACUUGGAGGUCCACGAAGGGCUAGAUAAGGGAAGCUGGUUUGCGUUCAGGGAAGCGGCAGAGGAGGGAAGCUGGCAGCUGGGCUGUGCUAAGAUGACCUUAGCCCCAGACCCUGGAUGAACAUCCUCUUCUGGAUACAGGACCUGCCCGAGGCAUCAUUUUGAAAUAGUCAAAUUUUAUUUGCUUUGUGUUCUUUCAUCACAUAUAUUAGCUUUUGCCUCUUGAGUGCCAAAAUAUAGCUGUUUUUAUAUUACCCCAAGUUCCUGAGUUUAUUUUUUAGGUAAGAAUUUUCCACCCUUUGAAAUCCCAAAUGACAUGUUUACUCUCUUUCUCAGACCAUGCUUUCAUUUCAGUCAAUGUAACAAAUCAGCCAGGUCUCAGGAGUUUAGAAAUCUGAUUGGAUUGAUUUAUACUAAGCGGUAACAGAUCUACCACAGCCUUCUAAGAUGAAUUGGAGUUUCUUAAAAACUCCAUGACCUACACUAUUCUUUAGGUGCUGGAAUUGCACACUUUCAAAUCACAUCAAGUAUAAACAUUCAAUUUUGUGGGGGGUUAUUUUCUAUGGAGAGAUGAGGUGUUGAUUAAUACUGGUAGGCUUUACUCCAAAAGACAAUUCUAUUAAGAUUUCUUUUGUUUUUUAAAAUCUAGACUAUCAGAAGGAGUAAAAAUGCCAAUUUUUUUUUUCUUUUUGCUGUGGCUACAAUGUUCACAGUAAUCCAAGCUCCAAUGACAGGGGGGGAGAGCGGAGCCAAAUGAGGCCCCGUUUUUUUCAUGAAGUGUAUUUUUCUUUUUUUUUUUGAGAUCAGGGGUUCAGAAAUUGUAAUAUAAGUGUUCAAUUAUAAAGUUAUUAUGAUAGUGCAUGGCACGUGUCCUUUCCAUCAUCUGGAUUUUUCCACUUUUACUGUAUGGCUCACUCUUACUCACUCUCCAGUCUUCACCUUAGUGGUCACUUCCCCCUGAAAUGCCCUUGACCCCUUAAGAUAGCAGUGCUGCAAACAUCGUAAGCUGAAUUUAUAGCCAGACUCACAGGCAACACCUUAUCUUGUGCCAUGCUUCACUAAUGAUGAGGAAGUGAGAAAGAGUAGGGGAAAGGAGGCACAACAAAUGUCAUUUCCAUAACAGAGGCCUCAAGGCCAGCCCACUUGAUUCUCUGGAGAUCCUUUUCUGCAUAACAAUGAUGAAAGGUAGCCUAAGAAAGCCAUUUGUCUGAGGCUUCACCUUUGAUACCUUGCUAGACACUAAACUAAGAGACUGAUUCCAUUCUUUAGUAUAGCCAUUGCCUCAUAAAUCCAUACAUAACAGGGGUAUUUCUUUCCAAUAAAGUAUCCAUAUAGAUUAGGUAUAUUCUAUUGACAAUUUUAUUAAAGUUCUUCAUUUAUCUUCCAGAUAGUAGAUUCUAUCAACCAAGUUUCAUAAAGAGUUCUGAUUCCCAGAGGUAAGAACUGAGCCUGGCUUUCUAGUUACAUGUUUAUUGGUAACUCUGUCCUUCCCUACAACACUUAAGCAUAUUUAAAGACUAUACCCUCCCCUGCCUCCAGCUUGGAUUGUAAGCUCCUCAAGAGCAUGGCUGUGUCCUUUAACAUCAAGUCUCCAUGUGAGAAAGAGUUCCUGCCAUAUCACAAAUGCCCAAUCAACAUUUGUAAGUGAAGAAAGCUAUUCUGUGGUGUCUGCUUUAAUAUUAAGAGAUGGCUUGCCCAAGAUUGCUAAGCAGCUUCAUUGUCUACAAUGGAACAAGAUUCUGUGGGUAGCAGUUCCAUUGGUGCCACUGACAGGAGGCCUCAAGGAAACCUAGUGCACUAGUCUUUCUGAUGACGCCUUGAUUUUCUU